CCUACCCCAACUUGUUUGGGACUAAAGGCUUUGUUGUUGUUGUUGUCUUCUGUCAGUGCAUGCAUUGUGCUGCGAACUGGAACUUGCAGCAGAAAGUUUUCAUUUAACUUUGUUUUCAAAUCUUGAAGAACUAUAUAUAAUGUAUGGUUUUGCUUCAUGUGGUGCCACUUGCUGGUUUGCAUGUUAGUUCUGUGCAGUGAGUCUAUAUGGCAGUAAAAUGUCGUUCACAUUGUUUUUAAGGCGUCCUGCUUUAGACACUUAGGUGUCGCUUAGGCAAUAGGGCGCCCUAGCAGCGCCUUAGAAAUAUGCCAGCUUUACGCGCUUAGGUGUCAGAGCGGUUGGUGCUCGCCUUAGGUCGCCUUACUGCCUUAUAAACAACUUCAAACCUAUAUUCCCACAUACCAUCAUUGUUAGGAAUAUUUAAAAUGUAAUUUCACAUAAACUAAUGUUUCUAUAUUUGUUUUCUCAUUCAAACACAUAUAUCCUGUAGCAAGCUUUCUUGGAUUAACUCGUGGUAUCCAGUUCCCAAGCAUUCUCUUAAUUUAGUGUCCUUUCUGAGGCAUGGACCUGGUUUCUUUUGUAGGAGGUGGUCACUUUGGAUGCAUAUGAUUAUCUGGUUCUUUUGUGGAUGUGUAUUUGCAGGCACACAAUUAGCACGGGCAGAAACUUGGAAGCCAGGGAACAACCACUCUUUGCUUAUGUAAUGGAAUUGAAACAUUGCACGAUACAUAGGAUGAGUGGAUGACUCUGGUUUAUGUGCUAGUGUGCCGAAAUGGUUCAACAGUCUAUACAUGGUUCAACUUAAAUCGAUGCAAUCCAAGAGGCUUUAUGGAACCAGUCAUUUUCCUUGCUACUAUCCUCUCACGAGUUUCUAUGCACCAGGUGAGGGAAUGACUGCUGCAGUUCUCACCGGGUUUGUUCCAUCACAUCGAUGUGGUUGGCACUAUUUAUAUGUUAUCUGUAAGAAAAAAACUUAUCAUGCCAGUCCAGCCAAGUUUCUAAUCCAGGGAAUUUCAGCUUACCCUAGUAGUAUUAUUUGAAGUCGGUUUUCAGCCCCAUCUUGUGUUCUUUAUAUGCUUGUGCUUGGAGGGUCGUCUCUUCAGCUCAAAUAUGACCUAAACUUAAUUAUAUGUUUGUCAGUUUGUGUACUCUUCUCGGCUGUAGUAUGAAAAGCACGACAUUACAGUCGAUGUUUUGUGUAAGCCAUGAGAGUUUCAGCAGUAAGCAUCACCUAGACUUGUAUUGUUGUGUAUUCUUUUUAGCUGUGGUUUGAAAAGCAUCUACGGUCGAUCUGAAGUGGUCACGAUCCACUUGUGCU